AAUAGAUACCCAGGUAGUCCACGCCGUAAACGAUGAGUGCUAAGUGUUAGAGGGUUUCCGCCCUUUAGUGCUGCAGCUAACGCAUUAAGCACUCCGCCUGGGGAGUACGGCCGCAAGGCUGAAACUCAAAGGAAUUGACGGGGGCCCGCACAAGCGGUGGAGCAUGUGGUUUAAUUCGAAGCAACGCGAAGAACCUUACCAGGUCUUGACAUCCUCUGACAACCCUAGAGAUAGGGCUUUCCCCUUCGGGGGACAGAGUGACAGGUGGUGCAUGGUUGUCGUCAGCUCGUGUCGUGAGAUGUUGGGUUAAGUCCCGCAACGAGCGCAACCCUUGAUCUUAGUUGCCAGCAUUCAGUUGGGCACUCUAAGGUGACUGCCGGUGACAAACCGGAGGAAGGUGGGGAUGACGUCAAAUCAUCAUGCCCCUUAUGACCUGGGCUACACACGUGCUACAAUGGAUGGUACAAAGGGCUGCAAACCUGCGAAGGUAAGCGAAUCCAUAAAGCCAUUCUCAGUUCGGAUUGC
rnacentral:rRNA from 1 species